AACUGAAGAGUUUGAUCAUGGCUCAGAUUGAACGCUGGCGGCAGGCUUAACACAUGCAAGUCGAGCGGGGGAAGGUAGCUUGCUACUGGACCUAGCGGCGGACGGGUGAGUAAUGCUUAGGAAUCUGCCUAUUAGUGGGGGGACAAC
rnacentral:rRNA from 1 species